rnacentral:rRNA from 1 species
UACGUAGGGUGCAAGCGUUAAUCGGAAUUACUGGGCGUAAAGCGUGCGCAGGCGGUUAUGUAAGACAGGUGUGAAAUCCCAGGGCUUAACCUUGGAACUGCAUUUGUGACUGCAUAGCUAGAGUACGGUAGAGGGGGGAUGGAAUUCCGCGUGUAGCAGUGAAAUGCGUAGAUAUGCGGAGGAACACCGAUGGCGAAGGCAAUCCCCUGGACCUGUACUGACGCUCAUGCACGAAAGCGUGGGGAGCAAACAGG